GACGAACGCUGGCGGCGUGCUUAACACAUGCAAGUCGAACGGAAAGGCCCUGCUUUUGUGGGGUGCUCGAGUGGCGAACGGGUGAGUAACACGUGAGUAACCUGCCCUUGACUUUGGGAUAACUUCAGGAAACUGGGGCUAAUACCGGAUAGGAGCUCCUGCUGCAUGGUGGGGGUUGGAAAGUUUCGGCAGUUGGGGAUGGACUCGCGGCUUAUCAGCUUGUUGGUGGGGUAGUGGCUUACCAAGGCUUUGACGGGUAGCCGGCCUGAGAGGGUGACCGGCCACAUUGGGACUGAGAUACGGCCCAGACUCCUACGGGAGGCAGCAGUGGGGAAUAUUGCACAAUGGGCGGAAGCCUGAUGCAGCAACGCCGCGUGUGGGAUGACGGCCUUCGGGUUGUAAACCGCUUUCGCCUGUGACGAAGCGUGAGUGACGGUAAUGGGUAAAGAAGCACCGGCUAACUACGUG
rnacentral:rRNA from 1 species